rnacentral:lncRNA from 1 species
GAAAUUAGGCGCAUAGACCAAGUCAAAAGGGUGUCUGUUCCUUCCCCCAAUGCUAGUCUCUUUUAUUACUUUAAUUUAAAGCCUAUUUCAAAACUUUUUGCUUAAAAACAUUUCAAUUCUUGUUUGUUUUUUCUUAAAAAAAACUUUUGAGAUACUCUCAACUCACGCCUCCUCUUCUCCCCUUUUCAGCCGGCACCGAUCCCGUCAAAGAUCUAUCGUGCCAUGGCCACUGAUGAAGGCCCGAUUCUGGCGACGGGCUCACGAUAAUCGGUACUUCCCUUCCUUUACUUCUUGAAUUUCGUAUAUAAAAAGAAUGAAAUAAAAAAAACCGAAAGAAAAUCAAAGAUAGAAAAAUAAUCACCUUCAAAAGAUCUUGUUUGAAUCAAUUUUGUUUUCGUGCUUUUUCGUACUCAAUCCGUAUUCAAUUUCUCUAAAAAAAAGAGUCAAAAAAAAAAAAGAACCCUUUACAAUCAAAAUUCAGAGGCUUUAUACCCCAAAACAAGCAGUUUUUGGCCAUUUUGCUCAUGCUGCAGGUCGUGAAAACAUGGGGGCGGAGAACAUAGACGUGGGGCGAGCAAUGCGUGAGUCGGGGGUCGUGCGUGGUGCGUGGUGCGUGGAGGCUGUUGGUGGCCAUUGCUACGGCGCGAAAUAGAUGGAAACCCUCAAGUUUUCGAAUUUGGGCCUAGCGUUGUUGGGCCAUUUGUAACUUGGCUUGUAUUUUGGGCUGUUUUAUGUAAUUGGGUAUUUGUGCUUAUUUGUAAAUGGACUCAUUUGAUGAUUUGUUUUAAUUUUGGUUUUUUGUAUGUGUAAUCUGGGCCAAAAUUGGGUCUUACAGCUGCCCCUCUUUACCCGUUGUUGUGUAAUUAGAACGGAGCAAGGACCCUAAAAGGACCAAUUUUGCCCGGUCUUGCCAAAUCUUCGACUGUUCUUCUUCAAGUAGUCUUGUAACACCCCUUAAUCCUAAACUGUCGCCUGAAUAGGGUUACGAGGCGUUACCGAACAUAUUGGUUAAUUUACAAACAAUUCAUGAAUAAACAAAAAAUAUAUUAAAAUUAAAUCAUUAAGUCUCUUUUAUGAACUUUCGAGACUUAAAUCACGUAUUAUAAAUGAAUAGGGACUUAUUCAAGUACUUCGGAAAUUUUUCGUAAUAUAAUAAUUAUUAUUAUUAUUAUUUUAAAAAAAUUCAAUAUAACCCCUUUAGAAACAUCUGACCUUCCCUGCAAUUUCAAAUUUGCAACCAAUUCAACAUAACAACAACUCAACAAAUACAAUCUUCAUCCAAAUCACAUUCGUUUCAUAACAGUAUCACUAAUCCUUAUUUUAUCUAACAUUAUAUCCAUUCAUACUUUCAAGUAGUAUUUAAACAUCUUAAUUAAUUUCCAUUCAUAUCAUAUAUCAACUUAUAUUAACUUAACUAAUAUAUUCAUGAGUUGAUACAAAACAUAGUCAUAUAAGCUCCUAUACAUGCCAUAUAAACCAUUUAAAGUAUUUAUAACAAAAUCUACCGGAAAGUCGAGAUAGUGUGACUUGAAUGUGAUGAUCUGAUCCUCUGACCUUCUCAUUAAUCUACAAAGAGCAAUAAACAUUACAAGUAAGCUGACUAUAGUUUAGUAAGUUCGUCGGCUUAAACCAUAAACCUUACCAAAUAUUAGUUUCCAAAAUUUAAAUCAUAUGGACAUUUCAAGUAAGUUACUUUCAUCCUGUAAGUCAUAAUCUCAUUUUAAAAAAUAAUUUACUUAAUUGAACUCAUAAAUAAUGAUAACAUUACUUACAUUUCUUUUUCCAUACGUUACAAUUACGACUUACCAACUUGUCUAUUUAAAGAACGACUUACGGAUUUGAGUACAUCGUGAUCUGAAGCUCGAAGUCUAACUGAAGCACAUAAGUGCUAAACGAAAGCUCGAAGGCUAACUGAAGCACAUAAGUGCUAAACGGAAGCCCGAAGGCUAACUGAAGCUCACUAGAGCUAAACUGAAACCCCAAAAGGGUUAACUGAAACUCAUAUGAGUUAACGGAAGCUCGUAAGAGCUAAACAGAAAGCAAACACGAGAAUUUGCAACAAAUGCUGAAUCUCGGUGUACUUGGGUAAUUUACCGUCAAUUUAUCUUUUUCACUGAAAUAUCGUACUCAUUUUCUGCGUUCCAUUCCUCCGAAAUACUCAGUUCAAUUUCAUAACUUUUGUACGCAAUUUACUUAUUUUCAACAAUUAAUAUACAUAAAUAUUAAUCACUAUUCAUAAUAUAAUAUUGAAAUUUAAUAAUUUUCUGUAUGAACUUACCUGGAACAAUUUACAGCAGUUGUAGAGAUUUCUAAAACUAUUCCAGAAUUUUCUCUUUUCCUCGUUUAUCCUCGAUUUCUUGAUCUAUAAUAUAAAAUUUUUCACUUAUCAGUAUUGACUUCACAUUCAUUCUAUUUCACAUCCUUAAUGUUUAUAACCCGCUUAUAAGUAACAUUAUCUGCAAUUUCACAUUUAUCUAUGUAUAUUCAAUCCUGUCUGUCCAUGUCAUAGGCACUAAAUUAUUUUUAUCUUGAUCUAAAGAACUCCAAAUUAGGAUCCGCUAAUUUUCAUGAAACUAAACUCACAUAUCUUCUUAUCAUAAAAUUUUCAGAAUUUUUGGUUUAGCAAAUAAGUACAGUUUAUUCUUUAAAGUCACCCAUAUUCUGCUGUCUGAUAGUUCCGACCUUUCUUCACUAAAAAUUAAUUAUCUCCUCGUAAAAAAUUCAGAUGAUAUUCUCAUUUAUUUCUUUUGAAAAUAGACUCAUUCAGGAUUCUAUACAUAUAAAUUUAAUCCCCUAAUCAUUUUUAUUCAAUUUUUUAUGAUUUUUCAAAGUUAGAACAUGGGAACUCGUAUUCAUUCUGACUUUGUCUCACAAAAUUCAUUAUAUCUCAUGAUUUACAAAUCCAUUGCUUACACUGUUUCUUCUAUGAGAAACUAGACUCAAUAAGCUUUAAUUUCAUAUUUUUUCAUCUUCUAAUUCGAAUUAGUCUACUGCUGCUGUCCAAAAUUAGUCUACUGCUGCUGUCCAAAAUUGUUUUAGUGCAAGCUGUUUAUUACCAUUUUUCCCCUAAGCUUUUAAUAAAUAACAAUUCCAUCCCUACUCAAUUAGCCUCUCAAUUGAGCUGAUUUUUAUCAAUUAAUACUUUAUCUAGACAUUAUAAGAUAUUUCACAACUAUUAAAAUUCAGAAUCUCCACAUAAAACCUUAACUUCAACUCUUUCACCAUUAGGUCCCAAACAUUCACUUUCCAUUCAAUUCUUUCAAUAAAAUCAGCAUAUAAACAAUUUCAAGCUCUAAUUCCAAGCUAAAUCAUCGUAUACUUCCAGCACAUAUUCAUAGAAACUUCCAAUUUCUUUCAUAGAAUCAAAAACUAAUGAAUUCAACAAGUGGACCUAGUUGUAAAAGUCAUAAAAACACAAAAAUUUCAAGAAAUAAUCAAGAAUUGAACUUACUUGCAGUAAAAAUAUGAAAAACCAGCUUAAGAAAACCCUUCUAUUGUGUUUUUGAUGAUGAGAAUGCAGAAAAUAAAGAGAAAUCUAGAUAAUUCCACUUUAGUCCUAGCUUUGUUAAGUAAAUUUUGCAAUAUUCAAAUUUGCCCUUAAUUCAUCAAUUUUCCUGCUGAUUUCAUGCCCCUUGUCGUCCAGCCCAAAUAGACCUUAGGUCUAUUUGCCUUUUAAACCCUCUUUCUUUUAUCAUUUAAACUAUUUAAUCAUUUCUCAUAAUUUUACAUUUGUUACAAUUUAGUCCUUUUAAUUCAAUUAAUUAUCGGAACUUUAAAAUUUCUUGACGAAACUUUAAUACUAACUUAUUAACACUCCAUAAAUAUUUUUAAAAAUAUUUAUGACUCGUUUUAAAAUUUUUAAACUCUCUAUACUUCGUUUUCGAUUCUAAUUAUUUUAAAUGUUUAUUUUUAGUACACUAUUCGCUAUUUCAAAAUUUUUUCUAACUUUACAUUUUACUUAUAUUCACUAAAUUAAAAAUAUUUUCCACUCAUUUUUUGAAUUUAGUGAUCUCAAAUCACUGUUCCGACACCACUGAAAAUUUAGGCUAUUACAAUUCUCCCCCCUUAAGAAAUUUCGUCCUCGAAAUUUGUUACCUGAAAAUAGGUUCAGAUAUUGUGAUUUCAUUCAUUCCUCUGUUUCCUAGGUUGCCUCCUCCACACCAUGUCGAUGUCACAACACUUUAACUAAUGGUACUUUUUUAUUUCGUAGUUUGUUAAUUUCCCGAGCCAAAAUCUUUACUGGUUCUUCUGAAUAAGUCAUAUCUGACUGAAGCUGAAUUUCUGUAUGUGGAAUCACAUGUGAAGGGUCUGAUCUAUAACGUCUCAGCAUAGACACAUGGAACACAUUAUGAAUCUUCUCAAGCUCUGGAGGUAAAGCUAACCGAUAUGCUACAAGGUUGACUCUUUCAAUAAUCUUGUAUGGUCCAAUAAAUCUUGGACUUAGCAUUCCUUUUCUGCCAAAUUGUAAUACUUUUUCCACGGCGACACCUUUAAACUCUAUUUCUCUUCUUUUCAAGUCAGCAUAUGAUUUCUGACGAUCCGAAGUAGCUUUUAGACAAUUUCGGAUAAUCCGAACCUUUUCUUCAGUUUCCCGAAUUAAAUCGGCCCCACUAACUUGGAUUCACUUAAUUCUAACUAAUGCAAUGAAGUCUUACAUUUUCUUCCAUAUAAAGCUUCAAAGGGCGCCAUCUUUAUGCUGGAUUGAUAACUGUUGUUGUAAGGAAAUUCAGCCAGUAGUAAAUACUUUUCCCAACUACCACAAAACUCAAGUAUACAACAUCUCAACAUGUCUUCCAAAAUCUGAAUUACCCGCUCUGAUUGCCCAUCAGUCUGAGGAUGAAAAGCGGUACUAAAAUUUAGCUUUGUGCCUAAAGCUUCCUGUAGUUUGCUCCAUAACCUCGAUGUAAACCUUAGAUCUCGAUCCGAAAUAAUGGAUGUUGGAACCCCAUGAACCUCACAAUCUCAGAGAUAUACAGUUCUGCUAACUUCUCCAGUGGAAAAUCCAUUCUGACUGGAAUAAAAUGUGCUGAUUUUUUCAAUCUAUUGACAAUUACCCAGAUUGAAUCUUUCUGCUUCGGGGUCACAGGUAACCCGGAUACAAAAUCCAUCGUAACAUGUUCCCACUUCCACUCUGAAAUUAUAAUAGGUUGUAAUAAAACCGUUGGUACCUGAUGUUCUGCGUUCACCUAUUGACAUAUUAAACACUUUGCUUCAAAUUCACAAAUUUCCCUUUUCAUACCAGGCCACCAAUACAUCUGUUUCAAAUCACAAUACAUUUUUAUACUUCCAGGGUGAAUAGAAUACCUACUACUGUGAGCUUCAGAAAGAAUAUCAUUUUCAAGUCUGAAUUAUUUGGAACACAAAUUCUUUUACUAUAGUAUAACAUACCAUUCCCAUCAAUGCUAUACUCUGAAUCCUGCUUAUCUCGAGCUAUUUGUUUCUUUGAUACCAACUUCGAAUCUUCAUCUUGCAACUCACGAAUUCGUUGGAGAAAUACAGGCUUGGCUUUCAAUUCCGCUAUUAUAGAUCCAUCUUCACUAACAGACAAAUGGGCUUUCAUUGACCGGAGUGCAAACAAAGAUGAAUUCUGACUGAGUGCGUCAGCAACUAUAUUAGCCUUCCUCGGAUGAUAAUCGAUAACAAGGUCAUAAUCUUUUAAUAACUCAAGCCAUCUUCUCUGUCUCAAAUUCAACUCUUUCUGCGUCAUUAAAUACUUCAAACUUUUAUGAUCUGUAUACACAUAACAUUUUUCACCAUAUAAAUAAUGUAUCCAAAUUUUCAAAGCAAAAACAAUUGCAGCGAACUCCAAAUCAUGCGUAGGAUAAUUCUUCUCGUGUGAUUUUAGCUGCCGAGAAGCAUAGGCCACCACUUUUCCCAACUGCAUCAGCACACAACCUAAACCAUUCAAAGAUGCAUCACUUUAUACAACAUAUGGCACACCUGAUUCUGGUUGAGUCAACACUGGAGCUUUUGUCAACAUAUUCUUCAACUGAUCAAAACUUUGUUGGCAUUCGUCAGACCACACAAACUCAACAUUCUUCUGUAGCAAUCGUGUAAUAAGCAAAGCAAUCAUUGAAAUUUUUUUAAUAAAACGACGAUAAUAUCCAGCUAAACCUAGAAAACUUCGUACUUCCAUUACAUUCCUUGGAGUUUUCCAAUUUACCACUGCAGAUACUUUACUCGGAUCUACUCGAAUCCCUUCGGCUGAAACAAUGUGACCUAGAAAUCUAACCUCAUGAAGCCAAAAUUCACAUUUGCUGAAUUUUGCAUAUAAUUGCUUUUCUCGCAAAGUUUGUAGCACUAUCUUUAAAUGCUGAGCAUGCUCGGGUUCUGUCUUUGAAUAAAUCAGUAUAUCAUCGAUAAACACAAUUGCAAAUCUAUCCAAAUAAGGCUGAAAAAUCUGAUUCAUUAAGUCCAUAAAUCCAGCAAGGGCAUUAGUUAAACCAAAAGGCAUUACCAAAAACUCGUAAUGACCAUACCAAGUUUUGAAGGCAGUUUUAGGCACAUCACAUUCUUUAACUUUCAGUUGAUAAUAUCCGGAUUGAAGAUCUAUAUUUGAAAACACGGCAGCACCUUUCAACUGAUUAAACAAAUCAUCAAUGCGAGGCAAAGGAUAUUUAUUUUUAAUUGUAACCCUGUUUAGCUGCCUGUAGUCUAUGCACAGUCUUAGAGAUCCGUCUUUCUUUUUCACGAACAAAACUGGUGCACCCCAAGGUGACAUACUCGGUCUAAUAAACCCUUUAUCUAGUAAUUCCUGCAACUGUGUCUUCAGCUCUUUUAACUCAGCUGGUGCCAUACGGUAUGGUAUCACUAAUAUUGGAGCUGUCUCCGGUACUACAUCAAUCACAAAUUCAACUUCCCGAUCUAGUGGUAAACCCGGUAAUUCUUCAGGAAAUACAUUAGGGAAUUCAUUAACAACUGGCAACUGUUCUAGUUUUGGUUCAGAUCCUCGAGUAUCAAGGAUGUAAGCUAAAAAUACUUCAUUACCCUUCCGCAUUAACCUCUGAGCUGAAAAAGCUGAAAUAAUUUUAACAAUAUCAUUUGAAUUUUCAAGCUCAACAAACCUGUCUGACAUUUCAAACUGAUCCGCUUCUCACGACAAUUUACCACAGCAUCAUAUUUUUUCAACCAAUCCAUUCCUAGUAUAACAUCAAAUUCCCGAAAGGGUAGCAAAAUUAAAUCAGCAUGGAACUCACAGCCUUUUAUUUUCAGUGGACAAUUUCGACACAAUAAAUUUACUAUCACCUGUUGUCCUAACGGAUUAGUAACUUGAAUAUCAUAUUCAGUUGGUUCAAGAGACAAUUUCUUUUCUAAUGCUAAUACUGUGCAAAUAUAAGAAUGUGUAGACCUUGGGUUAAUUAAUGCAUAUACAAUAACAUCAAAGAGAUAGAAAGUACCAGCAAUAACGUCUGGAGCCGUGGCUUCUUCCCUAGCUCGGAUGGCGUAUGUACGUGCUGGUGCUCUAACCUCUGACCGAGCAACAGAAUCUUUUGCACUCGAGCGAGUAGCUGUUGUAGCUCUACUUUGACUCGUACGUUUACUUCUCUGAAAAGUAGUAAUAUUUUUCUCUUUCUGUUCUUCUUCAUAUUUUUGUAACAGAGGACAAUUCCGAAUAAAAUGAUCAGUGGCUCCACAUUUGUAGCAAGCUCCUGUUUUACCUCUGCAUUCACCCAAGUGGUAUUUUCCACAGUGUUGACAUUUAGACCUGGGAGUAUUUUGUACACUGGCUUCAAUAGCAAUUGAUCUUAUUGAUAUUCCACGAUCAGGUUGAGUUACUCUAGUCUUCGAUCGUUUAGGUACCGAUGUAGCUCGAAUGGAAUCCUCCUUAGACUUUUUAAUCGGAAAUGCUAAAAAUGAUUUGGAGGAGCUUCUUUUAUAAGAUUCUUUAUUUCUUCUUUCCUGUUGCAUCUUUCUGUUGUACACUUCUUCCAUCUUUUGAGCACAAUCUGAUAAAACCACAAAUUCUCGAAUUUUUGUACCACCUAUCAUCAUUCUGAUUUCAUUAUUCAGACCUUCUUCAAAUCGAACACACAUGUCUUCUUCUGUAGGAACAAUCUCUCGAGCAUAUCUGCUAAGGUAUACAAUCUCCCUCUCGUACUCAGCUACUGUCCGAUUUCCCUGUCGAAGAUCAAGAAAUUCUCUCUUUUUCUUUUCUAAAUAUCUUUUACCAACAUAUUUCUUUUUAAACUCGGCUUGGAAAAAUUCCCAAGUAAGUUUUUCGGCUGGUACCACAGCUUCUAUUGUCUCCCACCAGUGAUAUGCUUCUUCUUUUAACACGGAAACAGCACACCUUAAAUAGUCAUCAGGAGAACAAGCCAUUUCUUUAAAAACUCUUAUCGUGGUCUGCAACCAAUACUCAGCUUUUACUAGAUCAUCAUCUGACCUACCCCGAAAUUCUUCAGCCCUAAAUUUUCUGAGUUUUUCUACUAGAGUUCUCUUACUUGAUUCAGUUACCGAAGGAGGAGGUGGAGAAGCAACCGAGGACACUACUGGUGGUACUGUAGGAGGAAGAGGUUGCUGGGUCUGAUUCCUUUCCUGCAUCCUCUUAUUAUACCAUUGAUUCAUUACUCCAAUAAUCAUGUUUCUAAGUUCUUGUUCUCGCAUCAAGGAAAUUGGAACAUCGCUACUUGUCCCUUGUUCAGAUGUAUGUACUCUACUAUUUGCUUCUUCCUGUUCAGCAUGUUCAGGUCUAUCCGACAUUUUUACAAUCUAUUAAAAAAAUAAGGGUUAAAUCGGAUCAUACACAUCAUACUAUUACAGAUUUAUAUGGCAUGUAUUUCUAAACAUUUUACACAUCACGUUUAUUUCGAGAAUCGGCUAAACCGGGCUCUGAUACCAAUAAAUGUAACACCCCCUAAUCCCAAACUGUCGCCAGAAUAGAGUUACGAGGCGUUACCAAGCAUAUUGGUUAAUUUACAAAUAAUUCAUCAAUAAACAACAAAUAUAUUAAAAUUAAAUCAUUAAGUCUCUUUUAUGAACCCUCGAGGCCUAAAUCACAUAUUAUAAAUGAAUAGGGACUUAUUCAAGUACUCCGAAAAUUUUUUGUAAUAUAAUAAUAAUUAUUAUUAUUUUUAAAAAAAAUUCAAUAUAACCCCUUUAGAAACAUCUGACCUUCCCUGCAAUUUCAAAUUUGCAACCAAUUCAACACAACAACAACUCAACAAAUACAAUCUUCAUCCAAAUCACAUUCGUUUCAUAACAAUAUCACUAAUCCUUAUUUUAUCUAACAUUAUAUUCAUUCAUACUUUCAAGUAGUAUUUAAACAUCUUAAUUAAUUUCCAUUCAUAUCAUAUAUCAACUUAUAUUAACUUAACUAAUAUAUUCAUGAGUUGAUACAAAACAUAGUCAUAUAAGCUCCUAUACAUGCCAUAUAAACCAUUUAAAGUAUUUAUAACAAAAUCUAUCAGAAAGUCGAGAUAGUGUGACUUGAAUGUGAUGAUCCGAUCCUCUGACCCUCCCGUUAAUCUACAAAGAGCAAUAAACAUUACAAGUAAGCUGACUAUAGCUUAGUAAGUUCGUCGGCUUAAACCAUAAACCUUACCAAAUAUUAGUUUCCAAAAUUCAAAUCAUAUGGAAAUUUCAAGUAAGUUACUUUCAUCCUGUAAGUCAUAAUCUCAUUUUAAAAAAUAAUUUACUUAAUUGAACUCAUAAAUAAUGAUAACAUUACUUACAUUUCUUUUUCCACACGUUACAAUUACGACUUACCAACUUGUCUAUUUAAGGAACGACUUACGAAUUUGAGUACAUCGUGAUCUGAAGCCCGAAGUCUAACUGAAGCACAUAAGUGCUAAACGAAAGCCCGAAGGCUAACUGAAGCACAUAAGUGCUAAACGGAAGCUCGAAGGCUAACUGAAGCUCACUAGAGCUAAACUGAAACCCCAAAAGGGUUAACUGAAACUCAUAUGAGUAACGGAAGCUCGUAAGAGCUAAACAAAAAGCAAGCACGAGAAUUCGCAACAAAUGCUGAAUCUCGGUUUACUUGGGUAAUUUACCGUCAAUUCAUCUUUUUCACUGAAAUAUCGUACUCAUUUCCUGCGUUCCGUUCCUCCGAAAUACUCAGUUCAAUUUCAUAACUUUUGUACGCAAUUUACUUAUUUUCAACAAUUAAUAUACAUAAAUAUUAAUCACCAUUCAUAAAAUAAUAUUGAAAUUUAAUAACUAACCGUACGAACUUACCCGGAACAAUUUGCAGUAGUUGUAGAGAUUUCUGGAACUAUUCCGGAAUUUUCUCUUUUCCUCGUUUAUCCUCGAUUUCUUGAUCUAUAAUAUAAAAUUUUUCAGUUAUCAGUAUUGACUUCACAUUCAUUUUAUUUCACAUCCUUAAUGUUUAUAACCCGCUUAUAAGUAACAUUAUCUGCAAGUUCACUAUUUAUCUAUGUAUAUUCAAUGCUGUCUGUCCAUGUCAUAGUCACUAAAUUAUUUUUAUCUUGAGCUACAGAACUCCAAAUUAUGAUCUGCUAAUUUUCCCUAAAAAUAGAAUCACAUAUCUUCUUAUCAUAAAAUUUUCAGAAUUUUUGGUUUAGCCAAUAAGUAUAGUUUAUUCUUUAAAGUCACCCCUAUUCUGCUGUCUGACAGUUCUGACCUUUCUUCACUAAAAAUUAAUUAUCUCCUCGUACGAAAUUCAGAUGAUAUUCCCAUUUGUUUUUCUUGAAAAUAAACUCAUUCAUGAUUCUAUACAUAUAAAUUGAAGCCCAUAAUUAUUUUUUUUCAAUUUUUUAUAAAUUUUCAAAAUCAGAAUAGGGGAACCCAAAUUCAUUCUGACCUUGUCUCACAAAAUUCAUUAUAUCUCAUGAUUUACAAAUCCAUUACUUACAUGAGAAACUAGACUCAAUAAGCUUUAAUUUAAUAUUUUGUUCACCUUUUAAUUCGAUUUCUACAAUUUAUGGCGAUUUUUCAAAGUUAGUCUACUGCUACUGUCCAAAAUUGUUUUAGUGCAAGCUGUUUAUUACCAUUUUUCCCCUAAGCUUUUAAUAAAUAACAAUUUCGUCCUUACUCAAUUAGCCUUUCAAUUGAGCUGAUUUUUCUCAAUUAAUAAUUUACCUAGACAUUAUAAGCUAUUUCACAACUAUUAAAAUUUAGAAUUUCCACAUAAAACCUUAACUUCAACUCUUUCACCAUUAGGUCCCAAACAUUCACUUUCCAUUCAAUUCUUUCAAUAAAAUCAGCAUAUAAACAAUUUCAAGCUCUAAUUCCAUGCUAAAUCAUCAUAUACUUCCAGCACAUAUUUAUAGAAACUUCCAAUUUCUUUCAUAGAAUCAAAAACUAAUGAAUUCAACAAGUGGACCUAGUUGUAAAAGUCAUAAAAACAAAAAAAUUUUGAAGAAAUAAUCAAGAAUUGAACUUACUUGUAGUAAAAAUAUAAAAAACCAGCUUAAGAAAACCCUUCUAUGGUGUUUUUUCUGAUGAGAAUGCAGAAAAAUAAAGAGAAAUCUAGAUAAUUCCACUUUAGUCCUAGCUUUAUUAAGUAAAUUUUGCAAUAUUUCAAAUUUGCCCUUAAUUCAUCAAUUUUCCUGCUGAUUUCAUGCCCUUUGCCGUCCAGCCCAAAUAGACCUUGGGUCUAUUUUCCUUUUAAACCCUCUUUCUUUUAUCAUUUAAUCUAUUUAAUCAUUUCCUAUAAUUUUACAUUUGUUACAAUUUAGUCCUUUUAAUUCAAUUAACUAUCGGAACUUUAAAAUUCCUUGACGAAACUUUAAUAUUAACUUAUUAACACUCCAUAAAUAUUUAUAAAAAUAUUUAUGACUCGUUUUAAAAUUUUUAAACUCUCGAUACUUCGUUUUCGUUUCUAAUUUUUUUAAAUGUUUAUUUCUAGUACACUAUUCGCUAUUUCAAAAAUUUUCCUAACUUUACAUUUAACUUAUUUCACUAAAUUAAAAAUAUUUUCCACUCAUUUUUUGGAUUUAGUGAUCUAAAAUCACUGUUCCGACACCACUGAAAAGUUAGGCUAUUACAAGUGUUAUAGCAACUUCAGGAAGAUAAGGUUUGUGACUUCAACCCGCUCCACUACAACUUUAGGGAAACAAAGCCGGUGGCUAAAAUAUUCUCCAUAGCUAAUACAUGGAGACAAGACUCAUCAUCUUCGAUCUGCUCCAUAGCCGAUACAUGGAGAUAAGAUCUAUAGUUUUCAGUCCGCUUCCUGCAACUUCAGGAAGAUAAGACUUGUAUCUUCAACCUGCUCUUUGCAACUUCAGAGAGAUAAGGUUAGUGGCUAAAAUUUGCUACAUAGCCGAUACAUGGAGAUAAGAUCUAUAAUUUUCAGUCUGCUUCUUGCAACUUCAGGAAGAUAAGACUUGUAUCUUCAACCUGCUCUCUGCAACUUCAGAGAAAUAAUGUUGGUAGCUAAAAUCUACUCCAUAGCCGAUACUUGGAGAUAAGACUCACCAUCUUCGAUCUACUCCAUAGCCGAUACAUGGAGAUAAGAUCUAUAAUUUUUAAUCUGCUUCCUGCAACUUCAAGAAGAUAAGACUUGCAUAUUGAGCCUGCUCCACUGCAACUUCAGAGAGAUAAGGCUUGUCACUUCAACCUACUCUACUGCAACUUCAGGGAGAUAAGGUUUGUAAUCUUCGAUCUAUUCUGCUGCAACUUCAGGGAGAUAAGAUCUGACUUCACCAAUGCUACUACACUGUCCUUUGAGACAUGUCCUGUAGAUUCGGUUUCAUAUAUCUAUCCUUAUGCCAAAUUAUUAGGAUGCUAUGAUCGAAAUAAAUCAAAUGCUCCUAACUAGAUAUGAUGCUUAUGUCAAAUAAUUAGGAUGCUAUGAUCGAAAUGAAUCAAAUGCUCCUAACUAGAUGUGUUAUGAAUGAUAUGAAUGUAGAAAUGUCAUAAGAAUGAUUCCCCCUUUUUAAAAAAAAAAACUUAAAGUGUCAUCCCUCAUUAUUCAUCAGAGUUUUUUCACAUCGUAUUUUGCUGCCUUCCUGCUCGACUAGCAUUUCCAACAAAACCUACAGAAACAACCUAUUUUGCUCAACUGGUUUGCCCCAUUGCAACUUCAGGCUCUAUUUCACUGUAUUUCUAGAAUCAAAGAUUUGUACCAUCUUCAAACCCCCUCUUGUCACCUAAAAACUUUCAUUAAUUCGGUCUAUUACACCACACCUUAGCAUCAUGACCAGAUAUGUACGUUUGACAUUUAUAUUAAUGAGGAAUAUCAUGAUCCAUUCUUAUGCUUUGGCUGACACAAUAUCCUAUUUUGUUAUUCAAUCAAUAUCUUUGACUGAAAAUCUGAAGAGAUAAUCUCAAUUUGAUCACAAAUAUCCCACCCCUAAGUUGGGUAAGUUCUAAUCAAAAGUCCUAUUUCAGAUUCUUGUUCCAUUUAGAAACUCCCAGAGUAAUAUACCAAAACCUCUUUUGUAAAAGUAUUAUUAGACCAUUAAUCGUUAUUUCAAUACAAGUACGUGAGCACAAAGAUAAAGAUGGAUAAAACUGAAGUUUAUUAGGAAUAAGAUUCAAGAAAAAUAGAUUAAUCAAGGGAAGCAAAUAUUGCUAGAGUACAAAAAUAGGUAAAGGGGAACAAAAAUGAACGCCCCAAAUAUCGCAGCCUAAGCUCCUCCGUAUGAACUCCAUGAGGACCCUUUUGAGCUUAUCAUGUGCCUAAGAGAUCUAACGUAUUCUGUCGAUGCCCCAAGACAUGCGUACAUCCUCUUCAUUAAUUCCAGCAUAAUAAGACUACAACCUAAACCAUCAUUGGUCAAAAUUUGAAUUGCCCUUUUCGGGUUUUCAAUUCAAAACCCCUUUGGUCUCGAGGCGCCUUUUGCGGGUUUUCCCCUCUGUCUCUCCAUUUUUUUAGGCGCCCUUUGCAGGUUUUCACCUCUUAAGCGAAGUAUUUCAUGACUGAAUCCGAAUUUACUGGGUUAGGUAUGCUCCUACCAUUCAUCUCAGUUAGUAUCAGUGCUCCUCCAGAAAAAGCCUUCUUUACCACGUAAGGUCCUUCCCAGUUUGCCAUCAAUUUCCCUCUGAAAUCUUUUUGCAUAGGGAGAAUUUGUUUCAAUACCAAGUCCCCCUCAUGGAAUACUUUGGGGCGAACCUUUUUGUUGUAAGCUCGCAUCAUUCGCCUAUGGUACAUUUGACUAUGACAGAUAGCCUUCAGUCUUUUUUCUUCAAUCAAGUUCAGCUGAUCAUACUGGGACUGAAUCCAUUCUGCUUCAUCUAGCUUCAACUCUGAUAAAACUCGGAGAGAAGAAAUUUCGACUUCAAUGGGCAAAACUGCCUCCAUCCCAUAAACCAAUGAGUAAGGUGUUGCCCCAGUAGAAGUUCUGACAGAUGUUUGCUAGGCAUAAAGAGCAAAUGGUAACUUUUCAUGUCAAUCCUUGUAAGUCUCCGUCAUUUUCCCACGAUCUUUUUUAUAUUCUUAUUGACUGCAUCAACCGCACCAUUUAUCUUUGGGCGAUAUAGUGACGAGUUGUGGUGCUUAAUUUUGAAUUGCCUCCAGAUCUCUACUAUUACAUUGUUAUUCAAAUUCAACACGUUGUCAGAUAUGAUCCUUUCUGGCAUGCCAUACCGACAUAUAAUCUCCUUCUUCAAGAACUUGCUGACUGUCAACUUUGUGACGUUGGCAUAUGAAACAGCUUCUACCCACUUGGUGAAGUAAUCGAUGACCACAAAGAUGAAUCGAUGCCCAUUAAAAGCCUUCGGUGAAAUUGACCCAGUGACAUCCAUGCCCCACAUUGAGAAAGGCCACGGAGAAGUCAUGACAUGAAGGGGUGAAGGAGGCACGUGGAUCUUGUCACCAUAAAUUUGGCACUUAUGGCAUUUCUUGGCAUAGCUGAUGCAAUCUCCUUCUAUUAUGGACCAGUAGUUCUCGAAUCUCAUGAUUUUCCUAGCCAUUGUGCACCCAUUGGCAUGCAUCCCGCAGACACCCUCAUGGACUUCUUCCAGGAUUUUCUUAGCUUCAACAGCAUCAACACAUCUUAAUAGUACCUGAUCUUUCCUCCUUUUAUACAGGAUUUCUCCAUCCAAAACAUAGUCAUUGGCUAGCCUUCUCAAUAUUCUUUUAGCAUUUUCCGUUGCCUGGUUAAGGUAUUCACGAUUCUUCACAUAUCGUAAAAUAUCAUGAUACCAGAUAAUCAUCUCUUUCCUCUUCGUUCUCUAUAUUGCAACAAUGAGCUGUACCCUCAUAAAUACUCAUCUGGAUUAGCUUCAUAUUCUCUCAUCCAUUUACUCUGAUCAUAGAAGCUAAUGUAGCCAAGGCAUCUAUCAUCUGGUUUUUGUCUCGCGGGAGAUAAAAGAAAGUGAUAUCAUCAAACACCUUAAUUAGAUCCUGAACUAGCUCUCGAUAGUUUAUCAAUUUUGGGUUUCUUGUCUCCCACUCACCUUUGAGCCGAUAGAUCACCAGUGUAGAAUCCCUAUACACCUCUAACACUCUAAUUUUAUAUUCGAUGGCUGCACUAAUUCCCAUGAUACAUGCUUCGUACUCUGCCAUAUUAUUUGUGCAAUCAAAAUCCAAUUUGCAAGUGAACGGAUAAUGAUCUCCAGCUGGGGAUAUCAAGACUGCCCUAAUUCCAUUACCGACGGCACUUGAUGCUCCGUCAAAAUUUAGUUUCCACAGAUGAUCUUCUGAGGUGUCCUCUACGGUAGUUGCCACAUACAUUAGAUCUUCAUUUGGGAAAUCAAAACUCAAAGGCUCAUAAUCUUCCAAAGCUCUACUAGCUAAAAAAUCUGCUAUUACACUUCCUUUCACAGCCUUUUGACUCACAUAAACUAUGUCAAAUUCGAAAAGCAUAAUUUUCCAGCGGGUCAUCCUUCCACUCAAAGCAGCUGACUCCAUCAUGUACUUUAAAGGGUCCAAUUUUGAGAUUAACCCAGUCAUGUGGUACAACAUGUACUGCCUCAAUCUCCAAGUAGUCCAAACCAAAGCACAACAUAAUUUCUCAAUUGCCGAGUAUCUCAUUUCACACUCAGUGAAUUUCUUACUGAGGUAGUAUAUCGCAUUUUCUUUCUUUCCUGUUUUAUCAUGUUGACCGAGAACACAUCCCAUUGAAUUGUCAAAUACAAUAUCAACGGCUUAUCAGGGCUAGGUGGUAUUAGCACUGGGGGAUUAGACAAAUACUGUUUAACCUUGUCAAAGGUUUUCUGACACUCAUCAUCCCACACGCCCAGGUUGUGUUUCUUGAGAAGGCAAAAUAUGGGGUCACAUUUCUCAGUCAGUUGUGAAAUGAAUCGGGUAAUAUAAUUUAGUCUUCCCAAGAAACCUUGAACUUCUUUCUGAGUGUGCGACGGACGCAAUUUUUGUAUAGCCUUGACUUUGUCGGGGUCGACCUCAAUUCCCUUUUCGCUGACUAUGAAACCAAGCAGCUUCCCUGACCUAGCUCCAAAAGUACAUUUUGUUGGAUUGAGCUUUAGCUGAAACUUCUUCAAUCUCAGGAAAAUUUUUCUCAAAACCUGAAUAUGCUCCUUUUCUGUUCGGGAUUUUGUGAUCAUAUCAUCAACGUAGACCUCAAUUUCUUUGUGCAUCAUGUCGUGAAAUAAGGUUAUCAUGGCCAUUUGAUACGUUGCUCCAGCAUUCUUCAACCCGAAUAACAUCACCCUAUAGCAAAAAAUCCCCCAUAAGGUUAUGAAUAUGGUCUUUUCCAUGACUUCAGGAUGCAUCUUUAUCUGAUUGUACCCAAAGAAACCAUCCAUGAAGGAGAACAGUGAGUAACCUGCCGUGUUGUCCACCAAAGUGUCGACGUGAGGCAAGAGGAAGUUGUCCUUUGAACUGGCCUUGUUUAAGUCCCUGUAAUCUAUACACAUUCUCAUCUUUCCAUCUUUCUUAGGGACAGGGACAAGUUAGCUACCCAUUUUGAGUAAUUAACAACUUGUAAGAACCCAGCAUUAAAUUACUUCCGGACCUCUUCUCUUAUUUUUACUGCAACAUCGGGUCUCAUCCUUCGAAGCUUCUGUUGAACAGGCUUGCACUCUUCUUUUAUGGGGACCCGAUGCAUCGCAAUAUCAGCGCUUAGCCCAGGUAUGUCUUGACAUGACCACGCGAAGAUAUCCUUGAACUCUUGCAGUAAAUCAAUGAGGUCCCGUCUUGUUUCCUCAAUUAUGCAAGUUCCAAUGUUCACCUCUUUCCCCUCUUCUAAGGUCACACUCUCGAUUGUCUCUUUAUGGGGUAGAAUCUGUUUCUCUUCCUGUUCUACCAACGUUAAAAAAUCUGAAGGUAAGUUACUGUCGUCAUCAUUUUCAAAAUCCUGAGAUCCCUCCAGACACACGCCUCGCUCAAAAAGGAACUCUGGGUUUGUAACAGCGUCAACUCAUGCCAUUGAUAUCUAGAGACCUAUUGUAGGCACGAAAGAAUAUCCAACAAACAAAUGAACCGAAGUAUAGCUCAGAAUAAGACAUGAAAGUGCAUUUAUGUUGAAAUAAAUAUUUUGAACAUGAGCCUAUUUCGCAAAAGAUUCUUAUUGCUACUAGGCUUUUAAAACAACAAGUGUGUUUUGAACAUUACUCUGUAUUAGCACUAAAAACUAUAGGAAUUUCCUCCGCAGUCCAGUUGUUCAGAACACUUCCAGGCUCAUAAGGGCGAACGCUUGCUAAGUCAUGUUUCAUCACUUUCUCUUCAGAUAUGACAUUGAUAUUCAAAUUUUUCAUUGCGUCUUCAGUUGUUCCCUUUCUUGUCAUCUUCAAUUCAGGAUAAAUAACUCCACUUGACACAAAUGUAUAGGAUAUAUGGGGAAAAGUCAUUGAUUCCCACUCAAGUUCUGCUCCAUUCAGUCGUGGUCUUCAUUUUCUCUGCCUCCUUUUCAUCUCCUUUCUUUUCUGCUUUACAUCUGGCCUAUACCCUAAGCUAAAGCGAUAUUGUUUAUCAGCCAAAUUUGGCACCUCAACUCGUCCAUGAAGAUACUUUCCAAGUCCUCUUCAGGCAAUGCUCCUAUUCUCACUGUUAAUUGUAAGCUCAUCCUCGUAGCCUCAGACAUUCUUGGCAUUAGGACCUUGCCCCUUUAAAUGAUGAAAGUUGCAUUUACAAACUCUAAUAACCGAAAGGAACACUAAAUUACUUCAUCAUCAUUUUCUAUAUACGGUACACUACUAGUAACGGAUGCAAUAAUGUCCUCCUCAGCAUUUAUCGUUAUCAAGUGGCCCUCCGUCACUAACUUUAACUUUUGGUGCAAUGAUGACGGUAUUGCCCUUGCUGAGUGAAUCCAAGGCCUCUCCAACAAGAAAUUAUAAGAAGGCUUGAUAUCCAUCACAAGGAAAUCUACCUUGUAUGUGUUUGGUCCGAUCAGCAGAGGUACCUCAAUCCUUCCCAUCACUUUCCUCUCAAUGCCAUCAAAUGCCCUUACUGUGUUAUGGCAUGUCUUCAUAUGAGAGCUGUCUAUUGGUAACCUAUUUAAUAUGGACAAGGGCAAAACAUUCAGCGCUGACCCAUUAUCAAUUAAUACCCCCGGCAGUGUAUACCCUUUGUAGCGAGUGGUGAUGUGCAAAGCCUUAGUGGAUCCCAUGCCCCCUGGUGGUAUUUCAUCGUCACUGAAAGAGAUGAAGUUAUCGGCGCUUACGUUACUGAUAAUGCGGUCUAGCUUGUUCACUGAAAUAUCUUCAACGACAUAGGUCUUGUUCAACACCUUCAUCAACGCAUUUCGGUAAACCUCCAAAUUUUAGAGCAAAGCUAGUACCGAUGUGCGUACCAACUGCUUGUGCAACUGUUCCACAACACUAUACUCACUGUGUUUUAGGAACUUUAAAAAUUCUCUAGCUUCAUAUUCAGUUAUGGUUCAUUAACCAGUGGUUUUGUCCUCUCUUUCCCUUGUUCAAUCAUCAUGGACUUCCCUUUUCCAGGUUCGACCUUUGUACUUGGCGUACUGACCAGACUCUCCUCCCUUGGAUAUGUCACAUUACAGUUGUAAUUCUAAGGCACCCUUUUGUUAUCCUUAUACGAAAAAGCCGCGGGUCUCUGGAUUACAACUCUCGGUGUAAUUUUUGCUCCAACUUCAUUAAUUUUCAGUAGCAAAAUGAUCACCACUUGGUGAUUAACCUCAGAAACCUUCUCUAUCAACCCCUCAUCCGAGGUGCAUACAUCUUCCUUCUCAGUAAACUCAAAGAACUCUAGCUCUUUGCUGUCCAUUAGAGCAUGUACCAGGGCUCUAAAUUUAUUACAUGUUUCUAUCUCAUGGCCCUCCUCUCCAUGGAACUCACAAUAGUUCCCUGCUUAUCGGGAUUUGCUCUCAAAAUAUUACAUAAUUAGACUUUUCCCUACCAUCUUCUUCAAAACCUCCCUCAUCGGGGUUCUUACUUCUGCCGCAUCCAAAUUAAUUCUCCUUCCUAUAUUCUCUAUUAUUGCAUUUACCCCUUUAUCAGUAUGAUUGGGUAGUAAAUUUCCUACACCAGGUGCAUCAUCGAAUUUCAAAACACCCAUGUUGAUGAGCCUUUCGACUACCCUCUUAAAAGAGGUGCAGUUCUCUAUCGAGUGACCUGCGAUUCUAGCAUGAUAUUCACAUUGAGCACUUGCAUCAUACCACUUAGGGUAUGGGGGUUGCAGUGGUUUUAAGUAGAAAGGAGAUACAACGUGUGCAUCAAACAAACUUUUGUACAGCUCCCGAUACGUUACUGGAAUGAGAGUAAACUGGGGCUUCUCCGUGUUCUGCUUUGUAUUGGGUUCCUACCUUGGCGAAGCUUGCUGGUCCAUAGCUACCACUUUCGGUUGAUUUACCAUGAUUGGCUUCGCAUAACCCAUAUUCACAUUGCUGACUUCAUUUUCUUUCUUUUUUGGGGCUGAUCUCCUGGUACUUUCCCCUGCCUCUAUCUUUCCGUACCGUAUUGCAUUCUCAAUCAUUUCACCAGACAUAACUAUAUCCGCAAAACUCUUAGUUGAGCUUCCCAACAUGUGAUUAAUAAAAGGUGCCUUCAAGGUAUUAAUGAAAAGCAUGGUUGUUUCCUUUUCCAACAGUGGGGGUUGGACUUGUGUAGCAAUCUCCCUCCAUCUCUGAGCAUAUUGCCUGAAACUUUCAUUUUAUUUCUUCUCCAUAUUCUGUAAUGUGAUCCUAUCAGGCGCUAUGUCAGUCACAUGGCCAUAUCGUUUCAUAAAGGCCUGAGCUAAGUCUUUCCAUGAUUUAACUUGGCUACGAUUCAACUGAUUGUACCAUUUGGCUGUAGCCCCAGUCAAACUGUCCUGGAAACAGUGGAUCAAUAACUGAUCAUUAUUGACAUGACCAGUCAUUCUCUGACAAAACAUCGUGAUAUGAGCCUCAGGGCAACUAGUUCCGUUGUAUUUUUCAAAUUCUGGCAUUUUGAACUUCAGAGGGAGUACCAAAUUUGGGACCAGGCUCAACUCCUUGGCAUCCAUUCCACAAUGAUAAUCAGCCAUUUCCAACGCCCUAAAUUUUUCCUCUAACCACUUGUAUCGGUCUUCUAAUCACUUUGGAAAUUCUGCUCCUGCCUUUCCUACUUUCGCGACCUCAUCGAAGUCAGGGACUGUAGGAUUUGCACGAUUGUCUUCGGGGUUAGAACACGAGCCCAUUGGAAAAUUUACUGAUACCGAAAUACCAGUAUGAUAUUAGGGUUUGAUACUGACAAACACCUUUUGCGGAGGCACAGGGUGUUUGUUGGGGUGAAACUCGGAGGGUAAGUAAGAAUCCCACUAUCAUCCUCAGCAUUGAUCAUGAGACUCUUUCACUUUUCCGGCCUUCCUACUAGUAGUUGAGUCAAUUCACUCAUCAUACUCCUCUGAGAUUGCUGCAUUUGAUCUUUCAUAUCUUGCUAUAUCUUAGCUAAUUGCUCUUGCAUUUGCGCUUGCAUCUGUUCCUGCAUUUCUUUCUGCAUUUGCUCCAAUUUUUCCAACCUUUGAUCCAUAGCUUUGGUCUUUUUCCGUGUGUAGUAUUGAUGUUCCAGGGUAACUAUAAUACAAUUUUUUAAUCAGGAUUCUUUUGUGAAAUUUAAUGCACAUGAUGCGAUAAAAUGAAAAUGUAUGAAAUGUAUGCAAAACUAAAGAGACGUCGAUUCUGAUUCAAUUUCAUUUAAAAACUUUAUUAGAAAGAAAAAUCCUUUACAUAAAAUAGAUCAUAUAUACGGCUUAGCCCUAAUGCUCAAAGUUUUAACUUUCUUAAGAAGGUACGCUAGCUCACGACCCCGGUCCGACUCUAACUCAUACUUUACACUUAGCACAUCAGCUUGAACCGCUAAGGUCUGUAGAUAAUCAGCCACUUCUCGAAUCUGAGCCACGGCUUCACCCAUGAUAUGAUCUCUAUCCUUGACCUGGUUCUGCGAUUGGCGAAGCUGUUCCUUCCACUCUCAUUGUUCGACUCAAAUAAUUCAAUUCGAAUCUCACAGUUUUGUAGUGCAGUCUCGAGCUCUUCUACCUUCCCUUUCAAAUCUUCAAUCCUACUCAAGCUGGCUCUUAAUUCAAUAUCAGAGUUACAACCACGAUGCUGAUACAGGGUCUUUUCCAGCUCCGCUACCCGAGCUACCAACAUCUCUUUAUCACCUUGGCCUUCAACCAAGCUCUUUUUUAAGGCGCUUUCACGUGUUCGAGCAUCAUGAAACCUCUUCUCCCACUGAUCAGCUCUAGCCUUUUCCUCUUGAAUUUCCUGUCGCCACUGCUCUUACGUCUUCCCCAACCCGGUAGUUCUCAUCGACAUACGUAGCUUCUUGUAAUCAGUUUUCAAACUGUCCAGGUCUUCCUCAACCUUCUUUUUCUCUUUUCUCAACCUUUCGACCUCGAGUUUCUGAACGUCGGCAUCUAAUCUCAAAUGCAUCUUUUCCUCUUCCAAUUGUUCUAUCUUUUCCCUAACUCCGCAUUUUUCUCUUCGAAGUCCCGUUUUACGAUUUCAAGCUCAGAGGGGAUUACUUGCAAAUAUCCUUCCAUUAUACGAACAUCCUCUAAACUCGACUCGGGGAUAUUAUCAUUAACUCUUUUACUCAAUCACCCAUUGUAUUCAAAAGUCGUCAUUGAUCCAAUAACCAAACUCUUCAUCCGGCACGUCUGUUUCCAAGCAUCUGAAAUCUCUUGAACCUUCUUCUUAUAAUUCUUCCCCUUAUACACGAACUCACUCUGAGCUAAUCCAUGUGUCAUCGGUAUAGACUGCCUUGACCUGUAUUGUCUUAAAACGAGUAAAUGGGCAUAACCAGCAGCUCCCCAAAUUCCAAGUAGAGGUACCCAAUCAAAACUCCCACACCGAUAGAGGAUCUCAUCAGGAACAAAUUAAGGAGCUCUUCACUUAACAUCCUCUUUCUGAAGAUUUCGGAGAAGCGCGAUCCAAUUUUCUUCUGAUAUGUCAUCUCUCCUAGACAUGGCUGCUAUCUCCUUUAACGGGGAGUAACUCUUGAAAAAAAACCCUAUAGGAAACCUUAUCCACCUUCCAGAAAUGGCUGUGGAACCAAGCCAACAAUAACUGCUCACACCCUAUAAAUCUACCUUCACUUACCCUCCGACCUGCACUCAAAGAUCUGAAUGUCUCAGCAAGAAUUGCCAGCACCGGUGUGACCCCUUUAUUAAGUCGAUCAAAGAAAUCGGCAACUGCUUCAUCUAUAUGCCUUAAAGCCUUGGGGAAAAUCACCAAACCAUAGAUACUCAAGGCGAAGACGUCAACUUUCCUCUUUGUAUCUGGAUGUGCUACGAUCAGGUCCCUCAAAAUUACCCAAGGAACACACCUACCAUCACAUUUUUCAUGAAUUCGAGCUAUAACCCAUUGUUCACUCAUCCCAGUGAUACUCAUUAACUUCUUUAUAAAAGCUGGGGCACUAGCAGCAUUGGAAUAAACUUUUUCGACUUGAACCUUUGGACAACGAAACAAAGCCGUAUACUCCUCCACAGUAGGCACCAAGUCCACCUUCCCGAAGGUGAAACAACUAUACACCGGGUUCCAAAACUGAGCCAUAGCCCGAAACAAGUACUUGUCCACCUUGAUAUCGAGCAGAUAGGGUAAGUCACCAUAACUUUGAUAGAAUAGUUGCUUGGUUUUAUCAUCCCAACAGCCCAUAUAUCCCUCAAUUCCUGAAACUCGUUUUGGGUCACGUUGAUGCGAGUGAAGCCCAACAACCCCGAUGUAUACCCCUUAGCUAGGCUAUCCCUUUUCUCAAGUUGCAUAUUCUCUGACCACAUACGGACAGCCUCAUUAUCCUCUACUUUAUCAAGGAAUUCGCUUUCCAUAACAAGCUUUCUAAUUUAGCAACCGAACAAAAAUCGACACCUCUUUAAUAUGAAAUGACAUGCAAAACAUAAUCACAACAAAACACAACAAGUUAGUAUCGAAAAAUAAAAAUUUAAGCAAAUAGAAAAUAAUUAAACACCUAAUUGGGUAAUCACUAGAGUUCAACAUAGCUCUACCUAGGGCGGGCUCCUAGAGUUCACUAUAUGGGGCUCGGUUCUAAGAAAAUAGUACCUGAACUAGUAGAUUCCUCAACCCUCACCCAUUAUAGGCUCAUGCGGAUCAAGUUCAGUUCAGGGGAAUACAUUUCCCUUUGGCCAUGCGGAGGUGAAAACCUCACAAAGACAUAGGUACGAAUGUAUCCCGGAAGCAAUCCACUAGCCCAUGCGGAGGUGAAAACCUCACGAAUGCAUAGUGUCUCACUCCCACUUAAAAAGGUACGACCACAACGGUCAUGCAAGAUGAUGCGAAGGGAUAUAAAAAAAACUCAAAAUGUAAAACACGAAUAAAAUGAAAAAACCAUAAAACCCAUGAAAUGCAAUAAAAGGAUUGUAUGUUAAAAUCUAAAUUUUAAAUUUUCGACAAAAGGACAGAAAAUAAUCAAUUUUAUGGCUUGACUCUCUUAUUGGUCCCCAGUGGAGUCGCCAAGCUGUCGAAACCAUUUUUAUUUUGGAAAACGGGGAUCGACUUUAAAAUGAGGUAUGGAGUCACCACCGACUUUUUUUGAGGUGUAAUCGGAUCACCUUGAGGUUGAUCAUUUUAAUAAAAUAUUUAAUUUAUUAAAAUAAUAAUUUUAGGUCUACAAAAAUUGAAAAAGAGGGUUCAGGAGUCGGUUACGCUCGAGGAAGGGUUAGCACCCCCGUAACGCCCAAAAUUGGUACUAAUUGAUUACUGAACGUCCUAUCGUUGAAAAUUUGGAAAAAAAAAUUUAAAAUACGAUUCCUUUAAAAAUGUAUGAACAAUUCAAAUUGGAUUUUUAGGUUCACUUGCUCCAAAGAAAUAAAAUACCACAUCCAGCACGUUAGGACACAAUACUUUAAGCCUCCAAGAACUGAGAUCACCCCAUAAUUUCCAAAACACGCAACGAAUUCUUAGAAGGGUAUUCCGUUAUUUGGCCAAACGGAUAAAUCGAAACCCAACACGUUAGGGCACGAUUUCCCGAAUUUCCAAACACAAAACAUUGCCUUGAUUUGUGAAAUUUCAAAUAACCAAUUACAAAACCGAGUCAAAGUAUACUUGCUUGAUUUGUUUGAAAUAAAGGACAAUCGAUAUUAAGCGGAUAUGAGAAUUAUAAUCACGAUGCAACAAUAAAAAUAUAAUUAUAUAUAUAAAACAAUAUACUAUGGAGGAAAAAAACUCACAAUACAUAAGACCAUAUGAAAACUAGGAACCUUCGCAAAACAAUUCAAAAACCCAUAUGAAAAAUAUACCAAGGAGUAACACAUGUUAAAAUUCGACAUAACUUAUAUGUAUAUAAAAACUGAUAAUAGAUAAAUAACUAUUAAAACAUAUAAUAUACAAGAAGGGAUUCGAAAUAAAUAGUGUAUAACAUAAUUUCAAGUAAAACAAAUUGAUGUGAUUAAUGAUGCAUGUAAGAAAAUAAAAAAAAAUACAUAUACAAAGAUACUAAAAUAUUCGAAAGGAAUAAAAUAUACAAUUUAAAAUAAGAUCCUAAAAAGAAAGCCAAAUUAUACAUAAAUAAAUUUUAAAGAAAAUAUAUAUAUAAUAAAUUUAAAAGAAAAUAUUUACAUAAAAUAUUAUGAAAACAAUAAUGUAUAUAGAAUGGAGCUAAUUUUAUCAAAAAAAAGAAAAAAAAUAUAUUGUAUAAUAAUAUAUAAAAAUUAUUUUAACUAUAUACUAUACCAGAAUUUAAAAUGAUACUACAUAAAAUAGAAUUUUAAAAUAAUACUUUACAAUUUGAACGAAUAAAAAAUAAGGUAAAAUUAUUAAAGCAGCCCAAAAUGUAUGUUUAAAUAAUAUAUUUUUUUUAAAAAAAGUUGAAUGUUAAAUAAAUUAAAGGAGUAAUGAAUUAUACAUGUUGAAAUGGAAAUAAGCUCAAUUGAAAUAAAACUAAACUAAAUGGGACAAUGAAUAAGUAAAAUAAGCCAUUAAAACCAAAAUCAGGACCCAAAUGUAGCGCGCGUAAAUUUGCAAGGACCGAAAAAGAAAAUAAACCAUGCCCCAAAACAAUUCCUUUCAGCGCGGACUGAAAUGAAUGGACACGCAAAUUCCUGGGACAAUUUAAAAGAACAGAAAAUAUAAACAAGCUUCAAUUACAAGCCAGCGCAAGAGGGAAGGGACCAAACGCGAAGUUAACCAUUUAAAGAAAUUGGGCGCACAGACCAAGUCAAAAGGGUGUCUGUUCCUUCCCCCAAUGCUAGUCCCUUUUAUUGCUUUAAUUUAAAGCCUAUUUCAAAACUUUUUGCUUAAAAACAUUUCAAUUCUUGUUUGUUUUUUCUUUAAAAAAAAACUUUUGAGAUACUCUCAACUCACGCCUCCUCUUCUCCCCUUUUUAGCCGGCACCGAUCCCGUCAAAGAUCUGUCGCGCCAUGGCCACUGAUGAAGGCCCGAUUCCGGCGACAGGCUCACGAUAACAGGUACUUCCCUUCCCUUACUUCUUGAAUUUCAUAUAUAAAAAGAAUGAAAUAAAAAAAAACCGAAAGAAAAUCAAAGAUAGAAAAAUAAUCACCUUCAAAAGAUCUUGUUUGAAUCAAUUUUGUUUGCAUGCUUUUUCGUACUCAAUCCGUAUUCAAUUUCUCUCAAAAAAAAGAGUUAAAAAAAACCAUUUACAAUCAAAAUUUAGAGGCUUUAUACCCCAAAACAAGCGGUUUUUGGCCAUUUUGCUCAUGCUGCAGGUCUUGAAGACAUGGGGGCGGAGAACACCGAUGUGGGGUGAGCAAUGCGCGAGUCGGGGGUCUUGCGUGGUGCAUGGAGGCUGUUGGUGGCCAUUGCUACGGAGCGAAAUAGAUGGAAACCCUAGAGUUUUCGAAUUUGGGCCUAGUGUUGUUGGGCCAUUUGUAACUUGGCUUGUAUUUUGGGCUGUUUUAUGUAAUUGGGUAUUUGGGCUUAUUUGUAAAUGGACUCAUUUGAUGAUCUGUUUUAAUUUUGGUUUUUUGUAUGUGUAAUCCGGGCCAAAAUUGGGUCUUACACUUGCUCCCUACCAACUCUUCCAUUACCAUCCCUAAUUGCGUACCUCUUACCACAAGCAUUGCAAUUACUUGAUCGAAAUUAACCAUUUUUAAGUGGAUAAAUUCUGCUAUUAAUCCAUUUAUUAUUUGUAAGUUAGAGAAAUUAACCAUUUUUAAAUGGAUAAAUUCUGCUAAAAUUGCUGUCC